rnacentral:rRNA from 1 species
CAUNCAUGUCUAAGUAUAAGCAAUUAUACAGNGAAACUGCGAAUGGCUCAUUAUAUAAGUUAUCGUUUAUUUGAUAGUACCUUACUACUUGGAUAACCGUGGUAAUUCUAGAGCUAAUACAUGCUAAAAAUCCCGACUUCGGAAGGGAUGUAUUUAUUAGAUUAAAAACCAAUGCCCUCUGGGCUCCUUGGUGAUUCAUGAUAACUCUUCGAAUCGCACGGNCUUGCGCCGGCGAUGGUUCAUUCAAAUUUCUUCCCUAUCAACUUUCGAUGUUUGGGUAUUGGCCAAACAUGGUUGCAACGGGUAACGGAGGGUUAGGGCUCGACCCCGGAGAAGGAGGCUGAGAAACGGGUACUACAUCCAAGGAAGGCAGCAGGNGCGCAAAUUACCCAAUCCCGAUUCGGGGAGGUAGUGACAAUAAAUACUGAUACAGGGCUCUUUUGGGUCUUGUAAUUGGAAUGAGUACAAUUUAAAUCCCUUAACGAGGAACAAUUGGAGGGCAAGUCUGGUGCCAGCAGCCGCGGUAAUUCCAGCUCCAAUAGCGUNUAUUAAAGUUGUUGUGGUUAAAAAGCUCGUAGUUGAACCUUGGGCCUGGCUGGCCGGUCCGCCUCACCGCGUGCACUGGUCCGGCCGGGCCUUUCCCUCUGUGGAACCCCAUGCCCUUCACUGGGCGUGGCGGGGAAACAGGACGUUUACUUUGAAAAAAUUAGAGUGCUCCAGGCAGGCCUAUGCUCGAAUACAUUAGCAUGGAAUAAUGAAAUAGGACGCGUGGUUCUAUUUUGUUGGUUUCUAGGACCGCCGUAAUGAUUAAUAGGGACAGNCGGGGGCAUCAGNAUUCAAUUGUCAGAGGUGAAAUUCUUGGAUUUAUUGAAGACUAACUACUGCGAAAGCAUNUGGCAAGGAUGUUUUCAUUAAUCAGGAACGANAGUUAGGGGAUCGAAGACGAUCAGAUACCGNCGUAGGCUUAACCAUAAACUAUGCCGAUUAGGGAUCGGACGAUGUUAUUUUUUGGCGCGUUCGGCAACUUACGANAAUCAAAGUGCUUGGGNUCC